CGUAGUGACCUGCGGAAGGAUCAUUAUAAAUAUCUGGGAUUCAAGUCCCUGAUCUUCAAUCUCUCUGUGUACCAAUCCAUGUUGCUUUCACAGGCUAAGUGAUAUUUCCUACUCGUCAGUGGUACACAAUGUCAGAGCCAAUCUAAUGCUUUCCACUAUUGCUAUCUUGUACUACCUGACUCCAGUUGCUACACAUUGCCGAUAUAUCCUUCCUUUGAUUAUCUAAGCUAUUGAAUACUGCUGGCCAGCUGCCGGCUAGUAGUUCUACUUGCUAUGGUAUCGAUCGUUAGACUGUAUUGGUGUCUUGCUACAAAUUGGACAGGUUGACAGGUAGUUGGUCAUUACAUUCUAUUUGUUCUGUCAUUAAUACCGCAAACGUUUAGCUAUUAUAUUGUUAGAGCUAUGUAGGCUCCUGUGGAAGGUCUUCACCUUAACAAAUUGUAUGAGUAUGUAGUCUGAUAUGGCCAAGUGCCAGAUUUAUUGAGAUAUUUGAAAACUUUCAACAACGGAUCUCUUGGCUCUCGCAUCGAUGAAGAACGCAGCGAAAUGCGAUAAGUAAUGUGAAUUGCAGAAUUCAGUGAAUCAUCGAAUCUUUGAACGCACAUAGCGCCCUUUGGUAUUCCUUAGGGCAUACCUGUUCGAGCGUCACUGCUAACUUCCUCACAAAUAUUGUGGUCUUGGUUGCUGUAGAUUGUGGGUAUAUUUAGUACAUAUGCUCACGAGAUACUCUGCUAAAAUUCAUCAGGUGGAUACCAGGUAUAAAUAACAGACUUUAUAAAUGUCUACAGGAUAUGAAUUAGUUGUUUAGUAUAUCUGAUACUGCUAUCAUGGAUCCCCAUCUGAAUAAAUUAUGGGUGACCUCGAAUCAGUA
rnacentral:rRNA from 1 species